rnacentral:tRNA from 3 species
GGGUGAUUAGCUCAGCUGGGAGAGCACCUCCUUUACAAGGAGGGGGUCGGCGGUUCGAUCCCGUCAUCACCCACCA